GUUGGAAUGUUUAUUUUUAUAUGUAAUUAAACUUAUCGCCUUUUCAAAUGAACAUGGAGCAAUAUAAUAACAGGCAUUUGAUUGUCUUCGACGAAUAUUGUACCUGGGAAAACGGUACUUGCCGUGGACAACGCGCAUUCUCAAAAAUAAUGACACAAAUUAGGCAAACGGGGUAACUAUUAAUUUUGCACAGCAUAUUCCAAUGUUACAUGAAAUAACUAAUUAUAUGAUGCCGGCACAGAUAUAACGAGGACGAUUUUAAAAGCAAUCAAAAUACAUUUAAAAUUGGCGCGCAUUGGUCGACACUCAUUUGCGCAUGUGCGAAAUAUGCAUACAAGAGAUGUCGAGUCUCAAGUAUUUAGUACGUAGGGUAGUAUGUAGUAUAUAUUACGUACUAAAAGCGAAUUCGGACACUGCCUAAGGUACAUCGAUGUCGCUGAAGCGGAAGUAAGGAUGGAAAGAGCGGCAAGGAUAACGUCUCUCCUUCCGGUCCAUAUCCCAGUGUUGAGAGCAACGACGCCCCCAAGAAGAAGGGCUUCUUCAAGAGCUUCUGGAAAAGAUCGCGCCACUACUCCCUGGAGAACCAAUAGCCCAGGUGCGCCAAGGUAACCAACCGCCAACGACAGCAAUACCACCAGCAACAACGCAUUGCUCCCACCAGCCUAUCGAAUAAUCCUUGCUGCUGCAUCGUGCAGUAACGUUGCUUAUGCGAGCGGCGCGAAGGAAGAAGACCGUCAUUCCCAAAAUCCCGUACGGCCCUAUCGUUGUCCGACCGUUAUCAACGCAAGAGGUCAUCGUUGCUGAUCGUGCAGUCAAGGGAAUCAUUGACGGGCCAAAUGUUUCUUUAUGCAGGUACCAAUGGCGAAAUCGAACGAUAAGAAGGGACUACGUGGGACACCCGAAAAACAGUCCACAUUGUGGAAAAUCACAAAGGUAAACGCGCCGGGCAUGCUCGUAGAAGCGAAAGCGGGAUUUCUGGAGAGUAAAAAAAGUUCGAAAAAGGUGGCUCGGAUAAUCACAACCGUUCGCGGAGAAUCUUUUUAUAGGACAAGGCGCUCGACUCAUCGAAAAUGGGUGUUCGAGUCGAGUAGUCGAACGCGUAAGUAUGCAGGACGCUUUGCCGAAUCGAGGAUUCGGUCCCGAGCCUUGAUCCUCGCUCCUCGGUCCGAGGAUGCGGCGACCCGGCAGAGCUUUCUCUUGGCACUUUGCAAGUAUUUUUGACUCUUUUUAUACGUGGCCUCUUCCCGAGUAAUCGCAUGCCGACGUCGGUCGGGCGUAAUUCAGUCCCUUCUUUGAGACACCGUAGAUGUGGAUAAGCGCGCGUCGAUCUAACCGCUCGACUCGGUAUAAAUAUUAAAGGCAGACAGGAAAUGCCGUUUAGAAUGUAUUAAGCAUGUCUCUACGUGUCGUUAACGUUUUGGCUUGAAAAUGAGUAAGCUGUCACGAUUAGUGGGCGGUAUUCCGAGGGGAGGGAAUUUUUCUAGCCCGCGGCUAAGCGGAAUUUCGAUGCUGGCGUUAAGUUGGUAGGCUUUGGUUGCCGAGGGACGAUAAGAGACGCGAUUGCACGCGGAUGGACCGGAUUCGCGAGGGACGGAAGGACGAGACCGAGAUUAGGAAUAGAACCGUUUCGGCUCGACCUCGGAAAUCUCGAAACGAGCAGAACCUUUUGGUUCUCGACGAUCGACCUCGGCUCGAUCCGGCGUUUCGUUAUCGAUGACGUUUCGCUACUUUCACGCUUACGUCCGAGUGCUUCUCCGGCCGAAUUACGUUGUAGUCAUUCAUUUCCCUUGUACGUUGUUACCUUUAUCCCCACUUAUUUAAAAUGCCGCACUCGGUGCAAACAUGGCGAAGAGGCAAUUCGUAGCUGUCAAAGUGUAAUAAUCGCCUUUAUUUAUUGACGCAAUAAUAGUAAGCCGCAAUCUUAAGCGUUGCCAACGACCACGCGUCUCGGACGUCGCGAGUGGUCGAGCUUUUUCUCCUCGUCGGAAGAAUUCGCUAUUAAAUGGCGCACGCGUGCGGGCGGGCGAGUCGGUGUGUGCGUGUGCGAGCGAAAGAGAUGAUUGAUUAACGAGAAAAUAUUCUAGUAUAAUAUACCUAUACGUGUGUAUGCAGAUGCAAGCGAGAACGAAUUAAUUAUUUCUGCGGACGGACGAGAGAUAAAAGAGAUAACGUUAUUAUUACGAUUACCUAUUAUUGAUACGACUGUAAGUUCAUAGGAUCAUUAAUACGUUGUAAUAUUACCGAUGGCAUAAUACCCGCGACUAGGUUAAUAAUAUCGCAGUGAAUAAUAUUAUUAACGAUAUAAAUACAAGAAAAAUAUAUAUAUACAUAUGAAGUUUAUGAUUAACGAGAUUAUAGCUCACGUACGGUCACGAUACCUAAUGUAUCAUUUCGCUAAUUUCUCGUCGACCCGCGCGAUCAAGGCUGAUAAUAGACUAUCCAAAUGGACAGAAAGGUUCGCAAAUUUGUGCGUACGUGCAAUACGCCUAAAUAACGUGCAUGAGCAUCUUGUACAUAUAAAGAAUCUACGAAAGUCUCCUGAUAAGGCUCCUUGUGCUUUGCGGGGUGAGACCGUGCGCGAUACAUAUUUCUAUCGAUACAAUACCCUAGAGGUUAUGACGCGUCGCAGUAAAAUAGUAAGCUGAGUUUGUGAGACCAAAAAUAGCGCAAUUUAUACUGACAAAUAUAGAACUAAUACCUGUGUUCUUAA